rnacentral:rRNA from 1 species
GCCACGCCGCGUGGGUGAUGAAGGCCUUCGGGUUGUAAAGCCCUGUCGGGAGGGACGGAAUACUGACGGUACCUCCCAAGAAAGCACCGGCUAACUCCGUGCCAGCAGCCGCGGUAAUACGGAGGGUGCAAGCGUUGCUCGGAAUUACUGGGCGUAAAGCGUACGCAGGCGGUCUGAUAAGUCGGGUGUGAAAGCCCCAGGCUCAACCUGGGAACUGCAUCCGAAACUGCCAGACUUGAGUUCGGGAGAGGGGAAGUGGAAUUCCUGGUGUAGAGGUGAAAUUCGUUGAUAUCAGGAGGAACACCGGCGGCGAAAGCGGCUUCCUGGCCCGAUACUGACGCUCAUGUACGAAAGCGUGGGGAGCAAACAGGAUUAGAUACCCUGGUAGUCCACGCCGUAAACGAUGAGUGCUAGAUGUUGGAGGUAUUCACCCCUUCAGUGUCGAAGCUAACGCAUUAAGCACUCCGCCUGGGGAGUACGGCCGCAA